GAUGAAGAACGUAGCGAAAUGCGAUAAGUAGUGUGAAUUGCAGAAUUCCGUGAAUCAUCGAAUCUUUGAACGCACAUUGCGCCUUCUGGUAUUCCGGAAGGCAUGCCUGUUCGAGAGUCAUUAACAACCGUUUCGAUCCCUUUCUUUCAGAAAUUACAAAGAGGAAAAGGGUUUGGUUAUGGUGGAGGAGGGAAAGGGAGCGUUUAGCCUGUAAAAAAAGAGGCUGUGUUCCGCAUACCCCCCAAAAUUGUACAGGCGGUCGUGUGCGCCCACGCAUCGAGGUGUUGUAAAAGCUGCCACGGCACUUUUCACCUGUGCAGUGCGAGAUUGGCCAGCCGGUUUAAAAACCCCUCCAAACAAUCAAAGGUUGACCUCGGAUCAGGUAGGGAUACCCGCUGAACUUAAGCAUAUCAAUAAGCGGAGGA
rnacentral:misc_RNA from 1 species